rnacentral:rRNA from 1 species
UCGGGAAUCUUCCGCAAUGGGCGAAAGCCUGACGGAGCGACGCCGCGUGAGCGAUGAAGGCCUUCGGGUUGUAAAGCUCUGUGGGGAGGAAAGAAUAAGGACAGGCGAAUACCCUGUUUGAUGACGGUACCUCCUUAGCAAGCACCGGCUAACUCUGUGCCAGCAGCCGCGGUAAGACAGAGGGUGCAAACGUUGUUCGGAUUUACUGGGCGUAAAGCGCGUGUAGGCGGCUUGGCAAGUCGGAUGUGAAAGCCCACGGCUCAACCGUGGAAGCGCAUCCGAAACUGCUUCGCUUGAGUCUCGGAGAGGAAGGUGGAAUGCUUGGUGUAGAGGUGAAAUUCGUAGAUAUCAAGCAGAACACCUGCGGCGAAGGCGGCCUUCUGGACGAUGACUGACGCUGAGACGCGAAAGCGUGGGGAGCAAACAGG